AGGGCAACUGGGGUCUCCGGCGCCCCCUCUGCGGCAGGGCCUCGAACCCGCUAACCUCCCAGCGGGGGGGUAUCGGCCCAGCCGGCCGAUUCCCGGACCUCUGCCACCGGGGAGGCCAAACGCCUCUCCCCCUGCCCCAGGAUCCCCGGAUCCUUCAGCCGGAUCCGACUGCCUUUCAACCCUCCGGGCCGUCCGUUCCAGGCGGAUCUGUGAGCGGAAAACCUCUCGAUCCUGCUGCAGGGAGAGCGCCGGGAAUUUCAGCCCCCCCCCCCCCGAAGAAUCUGCGGUCGAGAGGACGGGGAACGCGACGAUCGCGCGGUGCUUUUCCGACCCGGCUCUCUGCUGCUCCCUGGUGUCCGUAUAACGUCUUGUCACCUCACCGAAGCCUGGUUUUUACAAGCGGACGGGCCGUUCCUCUGGCUUCGAGGGAGCCAGGAUGCUCCCAACUCCAGCAGGCGUGUCGCUUCCAAAGCCCGGGAAGUUUUGUAGGGAGACUCGCGGAGAGAUAGUCACCGUCCACCUGUCCGUCGAGAUCUGACCAAAACGGCCUUUCCGAGGAGUUUCGGAAACCCAGUCCGUGUCCGAAGUCCGGAAUUGAAGCCGGGUGAAGUCGCUGGCGGGAUCCAGCAGGUCUCCGAGAGCCCAGCUGGGAUGAUGGCCGGAAGACUCCCCUCUUGUGGGCGGGACCAGGAGUCAGGACCCCCCGUUCCGGGCCUCUGUGGGGUGUCUCGUUUUGUGCCGGACGUCUUUUUUUGUGGGGUGCGUUCGUGUAGGACACGGGGGGAGGGGCUUGAGAUUAGACCCCAGACGGGUUUGGUUGGAGAAACGUACGGGCGUAUGAAUGAUGUAAAUAUUUCGGAGGGGGAUUGGGGGGGGAGAUUUUAAAAGGCAAAGCGGGCUUGUCUGAGGACCUACUGUACUCUUUUUUUAAUUUGUUUUUUAAAUGAAGGGCUGAGGAUGCGCUGUCCUCCCCGUGUUGGGGAGUUGUUGUGAUUAGCAGGAGAAAAUGUUCAGGUUGCUCUCCGAUGACCAAUAAAGCCUUUCCUGGUUUGGUUUCUUCUUCUGCUUCUUGACUUGAUCUGAUCCUUCGGCGUGGGGGGCGGGGACGUUACCUGGUGAAUCGCAAACUACGUCACGUCCUGCGGGUUUUUAAGGGGGUCCAAGUGCCGGGUGUUGCAUGCAGGCAGAAGAGACACAAACUGCCGAAAGAAACUGGGAAUCGCUGGGCUCCCAGGAGGAAAACUCUGGAUUUUUGUGGCGUUAUUUCUAUCUAGUGGGUGCUGCAGAAGCGAUUAAAAAAAAAAAACCCAGCAACGUUCGGACCUAUGGUCGGAGUGUUGAGUUUUAAACGAGAGAGGGUGAAG
rnacentral:lncRNA from 1 species